AAUUAGAAAGCGAAUUAUUGCAUUUAGUUUCGACCUAAAAUUUAGGCUUCCAGCCUUCUAAUUU
rnacentral:tRNA from 1 species